UUAUCUAAUUUUAAUUAUUUCUUUUUUCCUAUAGUUUUGGGUUUGGUUUGAUGUUCUUCUAGGUGCUUGAUGUAUUGUAGCUCAUUUAUUUGGUACCUUUCCAAUUUCUCAAUGUAGGCACCAAUUGCUGUAAACUUUCCUCUUAACACUGCUUUUGCUGUAUGCUAUAAGCUUUGACAUGUUGUAUUGUCAUCUAUGUUUCCAGAAAUUUUUUGAUUUCUAUUUUGAUUUCUGCUGUGACCCAUUGUUCAUUCAGGAGGAUAUUGUUCAGUCUCCAUGUGUUUGCAUAUGUGCUAGAGAUUCCUGAGUUGUUGAUUUCCACCUUCAUUCCAUUGUGGUCAGAGAAGAUGCAUCGUAUGACUUUGAUUUUUUAAUUUUGCUGAGACUUGCUGUAUGGCCCAGCAUGUGGUCAAUCCUAGAGAAAGUUCCAUGCACUGUUGAGAAGAAUGUAUAUUCUGCGGCUAUAAAAUGGAAAGUUCUGUAGCUAUCUGUUAGGUCCAUUUGGUCUGUAGUGUCAAUUAAUUCUGUUUCCUUGCUGAUUUUCUGUCUGGCUGAUCUGCCCAUUGCUGGGGUAUUGAAAUCCUCUGUUACUAUUGUAUUGGAGUCUAUGUCUCCCUUUGGGUCUGUUAACAUUUCUUUUAAAUAGCCAGGUGACCUGUAAUUAGGUGCAUAUACAUUUAUAAUAGGCACAUCUUCCUGUUGAAUUGAUCCUUAAUCAUUACUUAUGCCCUUCUUUAUCUCUUUCAACAGUUUUUGUUUUAAAAUCUAUUUUGUCUGAUAUUAGAAUGGCUACACCAGCUCUUUUGGUUUCUGAUAGCAUGGAAUAUCUUUUCCAUCCUUUCACUUUUAGUCUGCAUGUAUCUUUCUUGGUGAAAUGUGUUUCUUGUAGGCAGCAAAUAGAUGGGUUUUGCUUUUUUAAUCCAUUUAGCCAGUCUGUGUCUUUUAAUUGGAGAGUUGAGGUCAUUUACAUUUAAGAUAACUAUUGGUAAAUAAUGACUUUCCCUACAAUUUUUCCAUAAAUAUUCCUAAUUUUUACUUAGGAUUUCCUUUGUGCUUUUACUGGGAGAUUUUCUGCCUUCACCUUCUUUCAUAGUGAUGAUCAUGUUUCUGUUUUUCUGUAUGUAGCACAUCUUUAAGCAUAUUUUAAAAAAAGAUUUAUUUAUUUGAAAGAGUUACCCAGAGAGGAGAAGCAGAGAGAGAGAGGUCUUCCAUCCACUGGUUCACUCCCCAAUUGGCUGCAAUGGCCGGAUCUGUGCCAAUCCAAAGCCAGGAGCUUCCUCUGGGUCUCCCAUGUGGGAGGCAGGAGCCCAAGCACUUGGGCCAUCUUCUAUUGCUUUCCCAGGCCACAGCAGAGAGCUAGAUUGGAAGUGGAGCAGCCAGGAUUUGAACUGGCACCCAUAUAGGAUGCUGGCACAGUCCUAGCACACAAGGAUCCCACAGCCAUGGGGCUUUGAGGAUCCACUGUGCCCUGCCAAUCGAUCCUGUCCACAGAGAGGCGGAGAUACUCUCAGAGCCAGCUGCCUGUGGGUCCUCUGCCUAGGCAAUUUGAGCCCAGAGCCUGUGGUGUUUUGGGAGGGUGGGGGCACCUCACAGUCCUACGUGGGUGCCCAGCCCCUGUCAAUCUUCACAGCCAGACUCAGGCAUCUCCCUCUGCUGGUUGCUGGGCACAAGGACACAAGCUGGUACAGCUGUGACAUAAGUCCAAAAUGGUGCCUGCCCUCUCAGCCAGUUGACAGGGGAAUGGGGACAGAGGAACAUCCCCCUUUUUCCCUCUAUGUUGGUGGGUACCUUGUCCCCUACAGGAAUCCAGGCUGGACUCAUGCCAUGCUUUCUCUGCAAUUCUAUCACCAGUGACUUGGGCUGCUGCAGUCUGGUGUCACCUCACUCUCCAAAGCUGGUGCUGAGGCUCUGUUUUUGGGUCCUGUGUUGUGUCCAUGCUCACACUGUGAAUCCACACCCUCACAUAGAACUACAGCAUCCCUCAGAUUGCCCACUCUCCACUUUCAACUAUUCUCCCCUAGCCUAGAGCAGUAAGCUCCCUCCCUAUUCCACCAUCUUGGAAUUUUCUUCAAAUCCAUUUAAUUCUGAUCUGACUACCUUUCUUUGUUUAUGUAUGUCACACAUCCUUAAGAAUUAUUUGUAGGGAGCCAAGUACCUAGACCAUCUUCUGCUGCUUUCCCAGGCCAUUAGCAGGGAGCUGGAUGGGAAAUGGAGCAGCUGGGACUUAAACUGGUGCCCAUAUGAUAUGCCAGCAUUGCAGUGGCACAGGAUAACCUGUUAUGCCUCAGUGCCAGCCCAGCUAUUCCAUUUUCAUAACCAGUGGUCCCACUGGGUUCUGUUGUGUGAUUUCUUCUUUCCUUGCAUGUUGUAAUAUCUUUAUUCAAGUCUUCCAAAAUACAUUUUCAGGAUUAAUUGGAAUUCUUCAUCACUCUCCCACAUGGGUGCAGGAAUUGGGCCAUUCUCCACUGCUUUCCCAGGUCUUAGCAGAUUAGAAACAACGCCCACAUGGGAUGCUGGUGCCUCAGGCAAGGGUAUUAACCUGCUGCACCACAGUGCCGCCCACCCCCCCAUUCCUUUUUUUAAAUGACUAAUUCUUGAAAUGCACACGUCCUCCUAGAUUUCUCCCAGGUUGCUAUCUGGAGAGGGAACUAGCCACCUGGGCUAGCCCUAUUGUGCCUCCAGUUCCAUUCUUUCUUGACUCUCUACCUUUCUUAAUUGCCUGACACAUGGUUGAUUGGUAAAUGAAUAUUCAUGGUCAUUACCAUCCUAACUCCUCAGGUCCCAAUUCUUGAAGCCAAUCAUUUGUAGUCUUGCUAGACAGUGCUAAGUGCAGUUCUGCCUACUUACGCCUAGGCUUCAGGUUAGAGAGACCUAAUUGAGAGACCAUGGGAAGUUUCCCAAAAACAUGUUUUGUCUCCCAAAUAUCUGCUCAAAGAUGACAUUUGAAGUGGAGAAGCUGCAAACUGGCACUGUAUGUGAAAAAAUUUCUGUCUAACCAAAGACAACUGUCACUACCAAAAAGAAGUCUUUGAAACUAAGGGAUGCUGAAUCUCAUCCAAAUACCUCUUAUAUUUGAAGGAGUCUGUGGGCCAUAAAUGAAUUUUGAUCAAAUGAAGAUGCAUUUUACAUGCAAUCCCUCUUGUACUAUCAACCGACAGGAGAUGAUGUCUAAUAGCCUGUAGAAUUAAAGGAGAACAAUCUUGGGUUGAGAGGCAGGAUAGUGUGUUAGGGCCAAUCAGGAAUGGCAAUUCCAGAUCACUCACUGAGUGACCUUGAUAGAAAUCCUAUCUUGGUCACUUAUGGUAUAAUUGUGGCGGGAAAGUUACUCAGCUUUUCUUGUACUUAGUUUUCUCACUAUGAAAAUGAGGAUAAAGAGAGGAUUAGUUGUUAUAAGGAGUGGGCCUGUUUAUAUUGAGUACAUAUUACAGUGUUUCAAUGAUGGGUGGAGAGCCCUCUUCUUAUUCGUAAAUCAUUUCUAUUGAAGGGAUGUCCUCUGUUACUUUGAGUCCACAAUCUCUCUCUCCUGAUGACUGUACACAUCAUUGGUGCAGUGGAGAAGACUGCAUUCAAAGAAAUAUUUCCUGUCAAAAUAUUGACUACCCAGCUUUCUGUGCAAAGAUUUUGGGAGUUUGCGGAUGGUUCUAUGUUCAAGUGUAUGGUCUCUGGGUAAGAGACCAGUGUGCUAGCUUUGAACAGCCAGUUUAGCAGGAUUAAAUGGGGACAGAGUUCCUAAUUUUUUUUAUUAAAGACAUCCCAACUGGAUUUAUUGAAUUUUUGUUUAGAACUUCACUAGCAAUAUUCUGAAAUUUUAUUUGGAGGCAACUUUUCUUAAUUAAAAUAAUAGAUUUCCUACACAAAGCAGACAUCAGAGACAUGAGGUGGUGCUGUUGGACUGUAGGCAAAUAGGUGGAGCAGUUUGUCUCAGGGGAAGGGUUUCUGGGAAAGCUACAUGGAAGAUUGAAUCUCAGCAAAUAGAAAAUGGACAUGGAUUAGUGACUUGGGAGAUUUGAUGGCUACUUCUUACAUCAAGAAAAUCUGAAUUUCAGAGAUGCUUGUGAAUCCGAAUGGAGGAAGACACACUAAAGAUCAUCUGACUUUUGCAAAAGCAAAGUUCAAUGAUCCAGGAAAAGCAAGUCAAGAAGGCAUGGGAUUUGUAAGUGGAGAUACAUCUUCACACAGCAAAGCAAGAUUCAAGAUGACAAAUGCUUUAAGAGUGAGCCAUGGUGUGAUGGUUUGAAGACAUUGUUCCAGCUGACUCUAUUACAAAUGAGGGUGCACAUUGACUGGAACAUAAGGUUUAUCUUAUCUCGGGAGUUUUUACCUAAUGAACGAAAAGAUCCCUGCAAAGAAGUGUCACAUUGUCCCUGGUACCACGUCCAACUGGUGACCGAGCAGUGGAGUGGCAAUGUCACAGAGUCUGCACGGCAUGAAGAAGCUCUUAAGUGCUGCAUAGCAAAGAAGUCUGGAACUGAAAUAAGACAGUGGCUUGGUCAAGGAGGCUACAGCGUGAAGGGAGCUGGCGUGACUUGGUAUCAGUGGCACUUCUGGACAAAGGCUUUGGAAGUGUCUGUAUUUUUUUCCAGAGAGGCUGGUGGAACAGGGGACAUGAAAAUUUGUGAUGUUAAGGUGAGAUUCUUCCAGUCGUGCUACGUUCACCUACAAACAAUCCACAAGGCAUGGACAACAGCAAGGAACACAGGAAAGGAUGAAAAUCCAGGGGUUGUCAGUAUCUCUCUUGUGAGCUGCUAUUUGGAAACCACUUUGUUGCCGUCAUCUUUCUGAGGUCUCUUAGAUGCCUCAAAUUUUACUGUUAUAUUUGGAUCCUAAAUGUCCAUGCACCUGGAAGAACUGUUGUAGAAAAUGUAUUCCCUCAUGGACAGCUCUUGAUUCCUAUUAUUUUAAUUCUCAAUUCUUUCCCUGCUUCUAGUCUACCUAUGGACCCUCUAAGACCCAUUUUCAUAAGAUUCACUGGUAACAUUACUGAUAUAUCAGUUGUGCAAUGAGGAGAUACAAAUUUUAAUAUAUUAGCCCCUUGAUCCCUGCUAAAAUUCGAUUCAGCCAAAAUUCCAUCAUAGCUCUAUCUCAAUUGCAGCCAGAAAUAACUUCCUGCAAGAGGGAGUGCCUGGCCUAUAUUCACAUGGUAAGGUGAUGUGUAUACAGAAUACCCAGCUGAGACCUGGAUGCCUGAAAUCGCUGGGACUGUGAUAUUACCUUUGGCACGGGACAGUUUCUGUAUUAUUGGAAAUGUCACACUUGUACCUCCUGUAAUAGGGAACUUAAGGGAAAUGGUUUCUUUAGUUCAAGAAAGUUAACAUACUCGAAUGAAUGAGACAUUUCAGUUGUUAGGAGUACCUCUGGGUUUGUUUGUUGUUUGAUACUUCCAAUGACAGCAUCAUAGUUGACUCAAUAAAUAUUGCAGUAGUUUCACAAAUGUUUGUGAACCUCUCGUGCUUUUCAAGAUAUUCCCCUCCUGAAUCUGAUUUUUAUGUGAGACCUGGUUUAACACUAUUUUAGAUCAAAAAAUUUGCAUGACCACUGUAACAACUCGGAAUGCACACAUAUAUAUUCACAGAAGUUAACAUAAGUCAGGUUCAAGUUAUAUAUGCUUAUUAGUCUUUACUGUUCUCAGCAAGGGAGAGCUCACAUUAAAAAGAGGUCUUAGGAACCUAGUCUAACCCCUAGCAAUAGUGAAUGCACAAGGUUUUUUGUUGAAUGAAGGAAUUAGUUGGUAGAUGAAGGAUAGAAUUAAAUGUUCCAAUGGAAAGAGAAAAUAUGAAAAAUGAAAACCUUGCCACACUGGGGAUGGAGAUGAGCAACAGGUCAUAGGGCAGCAAAAUGUUUAAAGAAAUAAGGAAUAGAGAAAAAGCAUCAGCUGAUAAUGCAUGGAAAUAGUCCUAGUUACUAACAGGGAAACAUGGUGACAUUCAUCUUCCAUAAAAAUUAUUCAGAGUAGGAAUCUAAAAUCCAAAAUGCUUUUUCAUUAAGUCUUGUAGUCUUAGAAAAAAAAUGUUCUGGAGGAGUGCUAGAGAAUUUAACUGGGAGUCAGAAGGUUUCCAUUCCUCGUUUAUAACCCUGACUAUGUUUGGGGUAUUCAGCAAGUCCCAUGAUCUUUAUGGAGCUUAGAUUUCUCACCUGAAAAUUAUGUUUCAGCAAGAUUUCAUUGAAAAUAAGGGUAUGGUGACUACAAAUACCAUGAAGGAUCUCUAAAGCCUACUAAUGUAAAUAGUCAAGACUCAGAGGAUUCUCUUUUUAAAAAUUAUUUAACAUUAGAGCAAUUUUCAAGAUGCGGAAUAAGCUAGAACCAAGCAACUCAAAACGAAAUCAGUGAACAAGUUGGCUAGAUAUUGGCUCUGCCCUAGCAAAGGUUUGGGCCCACUAAAGGGAAGAGGGACAUGGCUUCUCUUUCUGUGGGAAUCCCGAAUAUUUUUCAUUAUUGCUGUUAGGAUGUGACCCAAGGAACUUAGAAGUUAGCUGCCUGCCUGGAAUACUGUGCCACAUAUCCAUAGAUAAGAUUAGUUCAGAGUGGUAGAAAAAAACACAGCUCUGAGGUCAACUUCAGGGGUGAGAGCAAAUGAAAUGUGUACAGAGGCCUUUGGGAAACUGUACAAUAUCGAAUUUUAACAUGGAAUUUACCUCAUUGUUGCAGAAACAGUAGAUAGUCGCCACAAAGAAUCCCUGAAAAGAAAAGGAAAAACAGAGUCGAAGUUGUUUUUGCAUGCAUCAUGUUGUUUAAUAAUCACUGGAAGGAGAUUUCCUGGAGAGGAACAUUUCGCUACUGCAAUAGCAAGUCAAGGCUCAAUGAAAUAUAAAGGCAAGAAAAAGAUGCUUAUCACUGGUAUUCAGCAAUGCACUGCAACCACAUUGCACCAUGUGCUUUUAUUGUUAGGAUUCCAUCAUUUGAGUAUAAGUCUAGCUCUACUACAUCUGGUUAAUGUACUGCUUCCUUUAACACAGAGAUUUACAACAGAAUAUGCUGAUUGCAGUGGCUUUGAAAAGAAUGUACUUAAAAAUGGCUAAAACUGAGAUCCUGUUGAGUUCAGUAGAGAAAUUUAUAAGCAGAAGCAUCACAGCAGGUGACUGGGGGCCUGCCUGUGUCCUGGGUUGCCAAGGUGUACGAGGGCAGCACUGUACCCACAUCCAAAUUCAUGCCUCAAAGACAUGGACUAAGGAACCCCUGAGGUCUUCAUCACUGUUAAACAAUAGCUCAGAUUAUUUAAAUCUUUAAAUUUUCUUUUUAGAACUCUGUUUUGACCAACUUCUCAUUCUAAGAUUUGUUUUCAUCAGUAGAAAAUAAAACUAACUGGAAAUUUGAAAUUGAGAUGGCAAAAUGCUGGCCUAACAGCUUGUAGUAGAAUCAUCUCUGCCUUAGGACCUCUUGUGUUCCAUCUUGCUUUCAAAAUACCCAGCACUACUGGCCUUCCGGGGUGGGGAGUGCUCAUCUAGGGCAGAGUCAACAGAAAUAGGGCAGGGGAAGACACCAGCUGGCCUAGCACAGCACCUGAGAUCCUACUGCAUUCUCUCCUAUGUGAGGACAAACUCCUUCUACAGCCAGUGAAUGGGCAUGGAUGCAUCCCUGACAUUUGUCUGACAAUGGGAGGGUGAUAGAACAGGAGGCACAGGUAGCUCUGUGCAAGUUCAUUACUCCUUAUCUCCCCGGAGUCGGUGCUGAUUUAGGGAAAGAGGUUCUGACAAUCACAGUAGUUAGGGGUGUGACCAACUGAGGUCCAGGAAUAUUGGGAAAGCAGGCACAAGUGCCUCAAAACAAAAAUCUGGUCUCCGUUAGAAUGCUGGCUGGGCUUGCUGUAUUGGAGGCUGUCGAUUACAUUUAGGGUCAUGGGCUUUAGAAUUGGAAAUCAACUCACAACACAAGUAAUUAACAAAAUACGCCAUUGGCGUCCCUACCUGGAAGUGAAUCAGAGAGUGCAUGAGGUAAUCGUAGAUCUUCCCAAGAAUCUUGUUGGAGGGCCUCCAGGGGAAGACGACAAACUGGAUU